AGUCGAGCGGAUGAAGGAGCUUGCUCCUGGAUUCAGCGGCGGACGGGUGAGUAAUGCCUAGGAAUCUGCCUGGUAGUGGGGGACAACGUUUCGAAAGGAACGCUAAUACCGCAUACGUCCUACGGGAGAAAGCAGGGGACCUUCGGGCCUUGCGCUAUCAGAUGAGCCUAGGUCGGAUUAGCUAGUUGGUGAGGUAAUGGCUCACCAAGGCGACGAUCCGUAACUGGUCUGAGAGGAUGAUCAGUCACACUGGAACUGAGACACGGUCCAGACUCCUACGGGAGGCAGCAGUGGGGAAUAUUGGACAAUGGGCGAAAGCCUGAUCCAGCCAUGCCGCGUGUGUGAAGAAGGUCUUCGGAUUGUAAAGCACUUUAAGUUGGGAGGAAGGGUUGUAGAUUAAUACUCUGCAAUUUUGACGUUACCGACAGAAUAAGCACCGGCUAACUCUGUGCCAGCAGCCGCGGUAAUACAGAGGGUGCAAGCGUUAAUCGGAAUUACUGGGCGUAAAGCGCGCGUAGGUGGUUUGUUAAGUUGGAUGUGAAAUCCCCGGGCUCAACCUGGGAACUGCAUUCAAAACUGACAAGCUAGAGUAUGGUAGAGGGUGGUGGAAUUUCCUGUGUAGCGGUGAAAUGCGUAGAUAUAGGAAGGAACACCAGUGGCGAAGGCGACCACCUGGACUGAUACUGACACUGAGGUGCGAAAGCGUGGGGAGCAAACAGGAUUAGAUACCCUGGUAGUCCACGCCGUAAACGAUGUCAACUAGCCGUUGGGAGCCUUGAGCUCUUAGUGGCGCAGCUAACGCAUUAAGUUGACCGCCUGGGGAGUACGGGCCGCAAGGUUAAAACUCAAAUGAAUUGACGGGGGCCCGCACAAGCCGGGGGAGCAUGUGGUUUUAAUUUCGAAGCAACCGCGAAAAAACCUUACCCAGGCCUUUGACCUUCCCAUUGAAUUUUCCCAGAAGAUGG
rnacentral:rRNA from 1 species